rnacentral:rRNA from 1 species
AAAACUUGUAUAGCCGAGGCGCGCUACCUGCAGUCGACGGUACCGUAGACCUUGGCUUCCGGUGACGAGAGGGGGAAAGGAGAGUAAUGUCUGGGAAACUGCCUGAGGGAGGGGGAUUCCAACUGGAAACGGUACCUAAUACCGCAUAAAGGAUCAAGACCAAAGAGCGGGACCUCCCGGCCUCUUGCCAUCAGUGCCCAAUAGGAUUAGUGUAGGUGGGUAACGCCUCACCACACGCAUACUGCUGCGAAGAGGAUACGCCACUGAAACUGAGACACGCCACUCCAGCGAGGGCGAGGGAAUAUGAGAGGCGCACUGAUGCCUGCCCGGGAAACGCCUCUGGUUGUAUAUUCAGCGGGAGAAGGAUAUGUUAAUAGCUGGUCGAUUGACGUUACACGUCAGAAGUAAGCACCGCUAACUCCGGCCAGCAGCCGCGGUAAUCGAUGGGUGCAGGUUAAUGGAAUUACUGGGCGUAAAGCGCCGGGCUUGAAGUCGAUGUGAAUCCCCGGGCUCAACCUGGGAACUGUGAACUGUCAGGCUAGAUUUGUGAGGGGAUAAAUUCCAGUGUGUGCGUGAAAUGCGUAGUAUCGAGAAUCACCCGUGGCGAGCGCCCCUCGCAAGACUGACGCUCAGGUGCGAAGCGUGGGAGCACAGGAUUAAUACCCUGGUGUCCACGCCAACGAUGUCAUUGGAGGUUGUGACUCUGAGGGCUUCCGGAGCUACGCGUAUCUGCGCUGGGAGUACGCCAAGUUAAAAUCAAUGAUUGACCCGGCCCGCCACAGUGAGCAUUUUGUUUUAUUCGAUGCAACACGAUACACUCUACUGCGUCUGACUACAGCAACUAUCAGAAUGAUUGAUGUGCCUUCCGAUGCUGAGCAGGGCUGCAUUGCUGUUCAGCUCUGUGUAAUGUUGGUUAGUCACGACACCGACGCUAGCUAUUCUUUUUGUUAGCAGCGUCGGCGGACUCAAAGAGACUAGCCAGUGAUAGACGAGAGAGGUGGAUGACUCAAGUCAUCUGCUACGAUCCAGGGCUCACACUGCUACAUGCAUAUGCAAGAACGAUCGCGUAGCAUAACGCUCAUAAAGUAUGUCGUAGUCCGGAUUGGAGUUUGCAACUCGACUCCAUGAAGUCGGAAUCGCUAGUAAUCGUAAAUCAGAAUGCUACGGUGAAUACGUUCCCGGUCCUGGUACCCCCCGCCCGUCCCCCCAUGGGAGGGGUUUGCAAAAAAAGUAGGUAGCUUAACCUUCAGGAGCGCGCUAACCACUUUUGAUCCGUUUGUU